rnacentral:rRNA from 1 species
GACGAACGCUGGCGGCGCGCUUAACACAUGCAAGUCGAACGGAAAGGCCUGCUUUCCCUUGUGGAUUGCGGGUACUCGAGUGGCGAACGGGUGAGUAACACGUGAGUGAUCUGCCCCCAACUUGGGUAUAAGCCUGGGAAACUGGGUCUAAUUCCCGAUAGGACUGCAGGGUGGUGCCUGUGGUGGAAAACGAUUUUCUAGUGGUUGGGGAUGAGCUCGCGGCCUAUCAGCUUGUUGGUGGGGUAAUGGCCUACCAAGGCGGCGACGGGUAGCCGGCCUGGGAGGGUGGACGGCCACAUUGGGACUGAGAUACGGCCCAGACUCCUACGGGAGGCAGCAGUGGGGAAUAUGGCACGAUGGGCGGAAGCCUGAUGCAGCGACGCCGCGUGGGGGAUGACGGCCUUCGGGUUGUAAACUCCUUUCGACCGCGAGGAAGCCACCUGGUUGGAAGGGUGGUGACGGUAGUGGUAGAAGAAGCACCGGCUAACUACGUG